GCGUGGCAUACGGCUCAGUAACACGUAGUCAACAUGCCCAAAGGACGUGGAUAACCUCGGGAAACUGAGGAUAAACCGCGAUAGGCCAAGGUUUCUGGAAUGAGCCAUGGCCUAAAUCUAUAUGGCCUUUGGAUUGGACUGCGGCCGAUCAGGCUGUUGGUGAGGUAAUGGCCCACCAAACCUAUAACCGGUACGGGUUUUGAGAGAAGGAGCCCGGAGAUGGGCACUGAGACAAGGGCCCAGGCCCUAUGGGGCGCAGCAGGCGCGAAAACUCUGCAAUAGGCGAAAGCUUGACAGGGUUACUCUGAGUGAUGUCCGCUAAGGGCAUCUUUUGGCACCUCUAAAAAUGGUGCAGAAUAAGGGGUGGGCAAGUCUGGUGUCAGCCGCCGCGGUAAUACCAGCACCCCGAGUAGUCGGGACGAUUAUUGGGCCUAAAGCAUCCGUAGCCUGUCCUGCAAGUCCUCCGUUAAAUCCACCUGCUCAACAGAUGGGCUGCGGAGGAUACUACAGGGCUAGGAGGCGGGAGAGGCAAGCGGUACUCAGUGGGUAGGGGUAAAAUCCUCUGAUCCACUGAAGACCACCAGUGGCGAAGGCGGCUUGCCAGAACGCGCUCGACGGUGAGGGAUGAAAGCUGGGGGAGCAAACCGGAUUAGAUACCCGGGUAGUCCCAGCUGUAAACGAUGCAGACUCGGUGAUGGGUUGGCUUCGCGCCAACCCAGUGCCGCAGGGAAGCCG
rnacentral:rRNA from 1 species